GACGAACGCUGGCGGCGUGCCUAACACAUGCAAGUCGAGCGAGGAACUUCGGUUCCUAGCGGCGGACGGGUGAGUAACACGUGGGUAACCUGCCUCAAAGAGGGGGAUAGCCUCCCGAAAGGGAGAUUAAUACCGCAUAACAUUAAAUUACCGCAUGGUAGUUUAAUUAAAGGAGUAAUCCGCUUUGAGAUGGACCCGCGGCGCAUUAGCUAGUUGGUGAGGUAACGGCUCACCAAGGCCACGAUGCGUAGCCGACCUGAGAGGGUGAUCGACCACAUUGGAACUGAGAUACGGUCCAGACUCCUACGGGAGGCAGCAGUGGGGAAUAUUGCACAAUGGGCGAAAGCCUGAUGCGGCAACGCCGCGUGAGUGAUGAAGGCCUUCGGGUUGUAAAGCUCUGUCUUUGGGGACGAUUAUGACGGUACCCAAGGAGGAAGCCACGGCUAACUACGUGCCAGCAGCCGCGGUAAUACGUAGGUGGCAAGCGUUGUCCGGAUUUACUGGGCGUAAAGGAUGCGUAGGCGGAUAUUUAAGUCAGAUGUGAAAUACCCGAGCUUAACUUGGGUGCUGCAUUUGAAACUGGAUAUCUAGAGUGUGGGAGAGGAAAGUGGAAUUCCUAGUGUAGCGGUGAAAUGCGUAGAGAUUAGGAAGAACACCAGUGGCGAAGGCGACUUUCUGGACCAUAACUGACGCUGAGGCAUGAAAGCGUGGGGAGCAAACAGGAUUAGAUACCCUGGUAGUCCACGCCGUAAACGAUGGGUACUAGGUGUAGGGGGUAUCGACUCCCUCUGUGCCGCAGUUAACACAAUAAGUACCCCGCCUGGGGAGUACGGUCGCAAGAUUAA
rnacentral:rRNA from 1 species